rnacentral:rRNA from 1 species
GAUGAACGCUGGCGGCGUGCCUAAUACAUGCAAGUCGAGCGAACAGACGAGGAGCUUGCUCCUCUGAUGUUAGCGGCGGACGGGUGAGUAACACGUGGAUAACCUACCUAUAAGACUGGGAUAACUUCGGGAAACCGGAGCUAAUACCGGAUAAUAUAUUGAACCGCAUGGUUCAAUAGUGAAAGACGGUCUUGCUGUCACUUAUAGAUGGAUCCGCGCUGCAUUAGCUAGUUGGUAAGGUAACGGCUUACCAAGGCAACGAUGCAUAGCCGACCUGAGAGGGUGAUCGGCCACACUGGAACUGAGACACGGUCCAGACUCCUACGGGAGGCAGCAGUAGGGAAUCUUCCGCAAUGGGCGAAAGCCUGACGGAGCAACGCCGCGUGAGUGAUGAAGGUCUUCGGAUCGUAAAACUCUGUUAUUAGGGAAGAACAUAUGUGUAAGUAACUAUGCACAUCUUGACGGUACCUAAUCAGAAAGCCACGGCUAACUACGUG